GGGUUGUGAGGUUAAGCGACUAAGCGUACACGGUGGAUGCCCUGGCAGUCAGAGGCGAUGAAGGGCGUGCUAAUCUGCGAUAAGCGCCGGUAAGGUGAUAUGAACCGUUAUAACCGGCGAUACCCGAAUGGGGAAACCCAGUGUGAUUCGUCACACUAUCAUUAACUGAAUCCAUAGGUUAAUGAGGCGAACCGGGGGAACUGAAACAUCUAAGUACCCCGAGGAAAAGAAAUCAACCGAGAUUCCCCCAGUAGCGGCGAGCGAACGGGGAGGAGCCCAGAGCCUGAAUCAGCAUGUGUGUUAGUGGAAGCGUCUGGAAAGGCGCGCGAUACAGGGUGACAGCCCCGUACACAAAAGCGCAUGUGCUGUGAGCUCGAUGAGUAGGGCGGGACACGUGGUAUCCUGUCUGAAUAUGGGGGGACCAUCCUCCAAGGCUAAAUACUCCUGACUGACCGAUAGUGAACCAGUACCGUGAGGGAAAGGCGAAAAGAACCCCGGCGAGGGGAGUGAAAAAGAACCUGAAACCGUGUACGUACAAGCAGUGGGAGCACCCUUUGGGUGUGACUGCGUACCUUUUGUAUAAUGGGUCAGCGACUUAUAUUCUGUAGCAAGGUUAACCGAAUAGGGGAGCCGGAGGGAAACCGAGUCUUAACCGGGCGUUAAGUUGCAGGGUAUAGACCCGAAACCCGGUGAUCUAGCCAUGGGCAGGUUGAAGGUUGGGUAACACUAACUGGAGGACCGAACCGACUAAUGUUGAAAAAUUAGCGGAUGACCUGUGGCUGGGGGUGAAAGGCCAAUCAAACCGGGAGAUAGCUGGUUCUCCCCGAAAGCUAUUUAGGUAGCGCCUCGUGAAUUCAUCUCCGGGGGUAGAGCACUGUUUCGGCUAGGGGGCCAUCCCGGCUUACCAACCCGAUGCAAACUGCGAAUACCGGAGAAUGUUAUCACGGGAGACACACGGCGGGUGCUAACGUCCGUCGUGAAGAGGGAAACAACCCAGACCGCCAGCUAAGGUCCCAAAGUCAUGGUUAAGUGGGAAACGAUGUGGGAAGGCCCAGACAGCCAGGAUGUUGGCUUAGAAGCAGCCAUCAUUUAAAGAAAGCGUAAUAGCUCACUGGUCGAGUCGGCCUGCGCGGAAGAUGUAACGGGGCUAAACCAUGCACCGAAGCUGCGGCAGCGACACUGUGUGUUGUUGGGUAGGGGAGCGUUCUGUAAGCCUGUGAAGGUGUGUCGUGAGGCAUGCUGGAGGUAUCAGAAGUGCGAAUGCUGACAUAAGUAACGAUAAAGCGGGUGAAAAGCCCGCUCGCCGGAAGACCAAGGGUUCCUGUCCAACGUUAAUCGGGGCAGGGUGAGUCGACCCCUAAGGCGAGGCCGAAAGGCGUAGUCGAUGGGAAACGGGUUAAUAUUCCCGUACUUGGUGUUACUGCGAAGGGGGGACGGAGAAGGCUAUGUUGGCCGGGCGACGGUUGUCCCGGUUUAAGCGUGUAGGUGUGUGUUCCAGGUAAAUCCGGUUCACUUUAACACUGAGGCGUGACGACGAGGCACUACGGUGCUGAAGCAACAAAUGCCCUGCUUCCAGGAAAAGCCUCUAAGCAUCAGGUAACAUCAAAUCGUACCCCAAACCGACACAGGUGGUCAGGUAGAGAAUACCAAGGCGCUUGAGAGAACUCGGGUGAAGGAACUAGGCAAAAUGGUGCCGUAACUUCGGGAGAAGGCACGCUGACACGUAGGUGAAGUGAUUUACUCAUGGAGCUGAAGUCAGUCGAAGAUACCAGCUGGCUGCAACUGUUUAUUAAAAACACAGCACUGUGCAAACACGAAAGUGGACGUAUACGGUGUGACGCCUGCCCGGUGCCGGAAGGUUAAUUGAUGGGGUCAGCGCAAGCGAAGCUCCUGAUCGAAGCCCCGGUAAACGGCGGCCGUAACUAUAACGGUCCUAAGGUAGCGAAAUUCCUUGUCGGGUAAGUUCCGACCUGCACGAAUGGCGUAAUGAUGGCCAGGCUGUCUCCACCCGAGACUCAGUGAAAUUGAACUCGCUGUGAAGAUGCAGUGUACCCGCGGCAAGACGGAAAGACCCCGUGAACCUUUACUAUAGCUUGACACUGAACAUUGAGCCUUGAUGUGUAGGAUAGGUGGGAGGCUUUGAAGUGUGGACGCCAGUCUGCAUGGAGCCGACCUUGAAAUACCACCCUUUAAUGUUUGAUGUUCUAACGUGGACCCGUUACCCGGGUUGCGGACAGUGUCUGGUGGGUAGUUUGACUGGGGCGGUCUCCUCCUAAAGAGUAACGGAGGAGCACGAAGGUUGGCUAAUCCUGGUCGGACAUCAGGAGGUUAGUGCAAUGGCAUAAGCCAGCUUGACUGCGAGCGUGACGGCGCGAGCAGGUGCGAAAGCAGGUCAUAGUGAUCCGGUGGUUCUGAAUGGAAGGGCCAUCGCUCAACGGAUAAAAGGUACUCCGGGGAUAACAGGCUGAUACCGCCCAAGAGUUCAUAUCGACGGCGGUGUUUGGCACCUCGAUGUCGGCUCAUCACAUCCUGGGGCUGAAGUAGGUCCCAAGGGUAUGGCUGUUCGCCAUUUAAAGUGGUACGCGAGCUGGGUUUAGAACGUCGUGAGACAGUUCGGUCCCUAUCUGCCGUGGGCGCUGGAGAACUGAGGGGGGCUGCUCCUAGUACGAGAGGACCGGAGUGGACGCAUCACUGGUGUUCGGGUUGUCAUGCCAAUGGCACUGCC
rnacentral:rRNA from 1 species